rnacentral:rRNA from 14 species
AACCGAGACUCCGUUAGUAGUGACGAGCGAACGCGGACCAGGCCAGUGGCAAUUAUGUAAGAACCGGAACCGUCUGGAAAGUCGGGCCAUAGUGGGUGAUAGCCCCGUACGGGUAGAAAGCAUUUUUGUCCUCGAGUAGGGCGGGACACGUGAAAUCCUGUUCGAACAUGGGGGGACCACCCUCCAAGCCUAAGUACUCCUUAAUGACCGAUAGUGAACAAGUACCGUGAGGGAAAGGUGAAAAGCACCCCGAUUAGGGGAGUGAAA